rnacentral:rRNA from 1 species
GAUGAACGCUGGCGGCGUGCCUAAUACAUGCAAGUCGAACGCUCCUUUCCUCCCCUUUGCUUGCUCUCAAUUGGAAAGAGGAGUGGCGUACGGGUUAGUAACACGUGGGUAACCUACCCAUCAGAUUGGGAUAACACUUGGUAACAGGGGCUAAUACCUCAUAACAGUUUAUGCCGCAUGGCAUAACGGUUAAAGGCUCUUUCGGAUGUCGCUGCUGGAUGGACCCGCGGGGCAUUAGCUAGUUGGUGAGGUAACGGCUCACCAAGGCAACGAUGCGUAGCCGACCUGAGAGGGUGAUCGGCCACACUGGAACUGAGACACGGCCCAGACUCCUACGGGAGGCAGCAGUAGGGAAUCUUCGGCAAUGGGCGAAAGCCUGACCGAGCAACGCCGCGUGAGUGAAGAAGGUUUUCGGAUCGUAAAACUCUGUUGUUAGAGAAGAACAAAGGUGUAAGUAACUAAGCACGCCCUGACGGUACCUAAUCAGAAAGCCACGGCUAACUACGUG